rnacentral:rRNA from 1 species
GAUGAACGCUGGCGGCGUGCCUAAUACAUGCAAGUCGAGCGAACGGACGAGAAGCUUGCUUCUCAGAUGUUAGCGGCGGACGGGUGAGUAACACGUGGAUAACCUACCUAUAAGACUGGGAUAACUUCGGGAAACCGUAGCUAAUACCGGAUAAUAUUUUGAACCGCAUGGUUCAAAAGUGAAAGACGGUCUUGCUGUCACUUAUAGAUGGAUCCGCGCUGCAUUAGCUAGUUGGUAAGGUAACGGCUUACCAAGGCAACGAUGCAUAGCCGACCUGAGAGGGUGAUCGGCCACACUGGAACUGAGACACGGUCCAGACUCCUACGGGAGGCAGCAGUAGGGAAUCUUCCGCAAUGGGCGAAAGCCUGACGGAGCAACGCCGCGUGAGUGAUGAAGGUCUUCGGAUCGUAAAACUCUGUUAUUAGGGAAGAACAUAUGUGUAAGUAACUGUGCACAUCUUGACGGUACCUAAUCAGAAAGCCACGGCUAACUACGUG